UCUUAUAACUCUAAUUUCGAGGAGGGUUACAAGAUGACUUCUUUGAGUUUUCUUCUGAGUUUUUUUCUGAGUUUUCUUGGAUAUAUUAUACAGAAAAAAAAUUAAUAUGACUAAUUUAAUACAAGGAAUACAUAUUGUAAUGACUGAUAAAGAUGGAAUACCAGUAGAGAAAAAUGAUUCAUUGUUAAUAAUGGAUAGGUACAUGUAAUGGAUAGGACAAGAGAGAUAUUUCUCUUUCUUGUGAAGACAGGGAUCAUGCUAUAUGGGAACAUUCAACAAUUAUGUUGCUCUUUUCAUUAUGGACAGAAAACGCAAACCUUUUCAAAAAUGAUAAAGUGAGAAAUGAUAUCGUGUGGAAAAAGAUUACUGAAUUCCUAAAUGGAAAAGGUUAUAUGUAUACAGCUAAACAGGUGGAAAAUAAAUGGAAAAAUUUAAAAAAAAUUUAUAUGAAAACAAAGGACCACAAUGCCCAGUCUGGGGCAUCGUUGAAGAAAUGUAAGUACUACGACGAAAUGAACAAAAUUUAUAGAAGAUCGUAUAGUGUGAUGCCUAUAGCUGUUGCGUCAAAUCUUUGUAAAAGAGAUAUAUCAACAACAGAAGACAAGGAAAUAAAUUCUGAUAAUCCUGAAA